AGAGUUUGAUCCUGGCUCAGGACGAACGCUGGCGGCGCGCCUAACACAUGCAAGUCGAACGAGAGAGAAGGAGCUUGCUUCUUCGAUCGAGUGGCGAACGGGUGAGUAACGCGUGAGGAACCUGCCUCAAAGAGGGGGACAACAGUUGGAAACGACUGCUAAUACCGCAUAAGCCCACGGGUCGGCAUCGACCAGAGGGAAAAGGAGCAAUCCGCUUUGAGAUGGCCUCGCAUCCGAUUAGCUAGUUGGUGAGGUAACGGCCCACCAAGGCGACGAUCGGUAGCCGGACUGAGAGGUUGAACGGCCACAUUGGGACUGAGACACGGCCCAGACUCCUACGGGAGGCAGCAGUGGGGAAUAUUGCACAAUGGGGGAAACCCUGAUGCAGCGACGCCGCGUGGAGGAAGAAGGUCUUCGGAUUGUAAACUCCUGUUGUUGAGGAAGAUAAUGACGGUACUCAACAAGGAAGUGACGGCUAACUACGUGCCAGCAGCCGCGGUAAAACGUAGGUCACAAGCGUUGUCCGGAAUUACUGGGUGUAAAGGGAGCGCAGGCGGGAAGACAAGUUGGAAGUGAAAUCCAUGGGCUCAACCCAUGAACUGCUUUCAAAACUGUUUUUCUUGAGUAGUGCAGAGGUAGGCGGAAUUCCCGGUGUAGCGGUGGAAUGCGUAGAUAUCGGGAGGAACACCAGUGGCGAAGGCGGCCUGCUGGGCACCAACUGACGCUGAGGCUCGAAAGUGUGGGUAGCAAACAGGAUUAGAUACCCUGGUAGUCCACGCCGUAAACGAUGGGCACUAGGUGUGGGGGGAUACGCCCUCCGUGCCGAAGCUAACGCAUUAAGUGCCCCGCCUGGGGAGUACGGCCGCAAGGCUAAAACUCAAAGGAAUUGACGGGGGCCCGCACAAGCAGCGGAGCAUGUGGCUCAAUUCGAAGCAACGCGAAGAACCUUACCAGGUCUUGACAUCGAGUGACGAGCUAAGAGAUUAGCUUUCCUUUCGAGGCACGAAGACAGGUGGUGCAUGGUUGUCGUCAGCUCGUGUCGUGAGAUGUUGGGUUAAGUCCCGCAACGAGCGCAACCCUUACCAUUAGUUGCUACGCAAGAGCACUCUAAUGGGACUGCCGUUGACAAAACGGAGGAAGGUGGGGAUGACGUCAAAUCAUCAUGCCCCUUAUGACCUGGGCUACACACGUACUACAAUGGCAAUUAACAAAGAGCAGCAAAGCCGCGAGGUGGAGCGAAUCUCCAAAAAUUGUCCCAGUUCAGAUUGCAGGCUGCAACUCGCCUGCAUGAAGUCGGAAUUGCUAGUAAUCGUAGAUCAGCAUGCUACGGUGAAUACGUUCCCGGGCCUUGCACACACCGCCCGUCA
rnacentral:rRNA from 1 species